UGCGGAAGGAUCAUUACCAAGAACCACACAGAAAAGGGAGGCAAAGGGGCCUACAGGGCUAGUAGCUUAUACGUUGUUGAACGUCCUGCCUGGACCCGGAGCCGCCCCCAUCUAAACCCUCUGCGUACCUGUCCCUUCUUGCUUCCCCCGGCAUCUCGUCGGGGGGAGGUAACAACCAAAACUCUCUGUGAAUCAAACAGCCGUCAGAAUUAUAAAACAAACAAAAGUUAAAACUUUCAACAACGGAUCUCUUGGUUCCCACAUCGAUGAAGAACGCAGCGAAAUGCGAUAAGUAAUGUGAAUUGCAGAAUUCAGUGAAUCAUCGAAUCUUUGAACGCACAUUGCGCCCCCUGGUAUUCCGGGGGGCAUGCCUGUUCGAGCGUCAUAAAAACCUCCUCCCCCUUCGGGUUUUGUUACUAUCGUUGGGGGGUUUUGGCCUAAUGGGAUAGCGAUUGGCAAUUCGUUUCCCAAUGUCCUAAAUAGACGUAGACCCGCCUCCAGAUGCGACAGCACCGAGGCCAUCAACCGUGGAGUUAUGGGAUAUAAUAGGCUUGCAGUAAAAUGCUCACCUCUCUCCACACGCCGAUGGCACGACAGUUGCAGUUGCGGGCGUAAAUUGGAGCCCUUUUCAGGACCCUUGUGGCCUAGCAUCCACCAUACAUAAUUUGACCUCGGAUCAGGUAGGGAUACCCGCUGAACUUAAGCAUAUC
rnacentral:rRNA from 2 species